rnacentral:rRNA from 1 species
GUCUGAAUAUGGGGGGACCAUCCUCCAAGGCUAAAUACUCCUGACUGACCGAUAGUGAACCAGUACCGUGAGGGAAAGGCGAAAAGAACCCCGGCGAGGGGAGUGAAAAAGAACCUGAAACCGUGUACGUACAAGCAGUGGGAGCACAGGUUUACCUGUGUGACUGCGUACCUUUUGUAUAAUGGGUCAGCGACUUAUAUUCUGUAGCAAGGUUAACCGAAUAGGGGAGCCGGAGGGAAACCGAGUCUUAAUUGGGCGUUAAGUUGCAGGGUAUAGACCCGAAACCCGGUGAUCUAGCCAUGGGCAGGUUGAAGGUUGGGUAACACUAACUGGAGGACCGAACCGACUAAUGUUGAAAAAUUAGCGGAUGACCUGUGGCUGGGGGUGAAAGGCCAAUCAAACCGGGAGAUAGCUGGUUCUCCCCGAAAGCUAUUUAGGUAGCGCCUCGUGAAUUCAUCUCCGGGGGUAGAGCACUGUUUCGGCUAGGGGGCCAUCCCGGCUUACCAACCCGAUGCAAACUGCGAAUACCGGAGAAUGUUAUCACGGGAGACACACGGCGGGUGCUAACGUCCGUCGUGAAGAGGGAAACAACCCAGACCGCCAGCUAAGGUCCCAAAGUCAUGGUUAAGUGGGAAACGAUGUGGGAAGGCCCAGACAGCCAGGAUGUUGGCUUAGAAGCAGCCAUCAUUUAAAGAAAGCGUAAUAGCUCACUGGUCGAGUCGGCCUGCGCGGAAGAUGUAACGGGGCUAAACCAU